AAGUCGUAACAAGGUCUCCGUAGGUGAACCUGCGGAGGGAUCAUUACCACUUGGCUUUUGCCAAACGUCUCGGGCAACCGACGACACCACCCUUGACCACGAUACCGUAGUACCUUCCUCGGCGGAGACGUCCGCCGGCGGAGCACACCAAACCUUUGCCAACGCAGCAACAAUCGUCUGAAAUUUUGAAUCGUUACAACUUUCAACAAUGGAUCUCUUGGCUCUG
rnacentral:misc_RNA from 1 species